UACGGGGGGGGCAAGCGUUGUUCGGAAUUACUGGGCGUAAAGCGCACGUAGGCGGCUCUUUAAGUCGGGGGUGAAAUCCUGGAGCUCAACUCCAGAACUGCCUUCGAUACUGUAGAGCUUGAGUUCGGGAGAGGUGAGUGGAACUGCGAGUGUAGAGGUGAAAUUCGUAGAUAUUCGCAAGAACACCAGUGGCGAAGGCGGCUCACUGGCCCGAUACUGACGCUGAGGUGCGAAAGCGUGGGGAGCAAACAGG
rnacentral:rRNA from 1 species